UCACUCUGUUAUUCAAGGGGAAUGAAAUACACAUAUUUGCAUCAAUGAAAGUGACACAAUUUGAAUCCAGAUGCUGACGACCCUCAAUUGUGCUUCUUCAUAUUUAGUGUAAAUCCAAACAGCAACGCUCCUGAGUUUGUGUCCCACGUCACCUUCAGUCCGCUCAGAGCAGAGGAAUCAUUUCCAUAGAGAGGAGGCUUUGCAUCGUCAGCUGAUCCUCCACUGAACUGAGAAGCUUUAUAGUCCUGUGACUCCAACUCUGCAGGACUCAGACCCGUCAGUCGACCACAACCACCAUGACUCUCAUCACCCUCCUCAUCUGGACGCUGGCCUGCUGCAGCUUCACAGGAUGCAGCGGCCAGGUGACUGUGACUCAGCCUCCAGUAGUGACAUUUACUCAAGGAUCCACCGUCAAGCUGACCUGUAACACCAACCCCAGUGUUACCAGCACUAGUUAUAUGUCCUGGUACCAGCAGAAACCUGGACAGGCUCCCAAGCUUCUUAUAUACUAUACAUCAACUCUUAAUUCCGGAACUCCCUCUCGAUUCGGUGGCAGUGGCUCUGAUUCUAGCUUCACCUUAACCAUCAGCGGUGUUGAGGCUGAAGAUGUUGGAGAUUAUUACUGUCAGAGCUUCCAUGUAGUUAAUGGAGCAUAUGUGUCCACACAGUGAUUUAGAGCCGUACAAAAACCUCUCUCAGUUUGAAUGAAGUGAAACUGGUCUGCUGCAGCUGCACAGAGAAUAACUGGUCCAGUGAACAUAACACAAGUCUUCAAGUAGAGUGACAAUGAAGCUAAACAUAACUGAAACAAAUUCACAGUUUUAAAUGUUCAGAUAUCUCCAAACAAAGCCCCAUGAAACCAACUUUGUCAAAUUUAGAUUUUUAGUUGAAGACGAGAACGUCUGAAUGUGUGUAAGAUGAGCUUGAGAGGGGGGGUAAGGGGUUGAACUUUAUUACUUCACUAUCCUUUACGUGGAUGCACAGUUCUGCACUUUUUUAAGUUUGACUAUAUAAUACUUUUUUGAAGAUUGUAAUGAUGUGGUUCAUGUGUUUCUUAGUAGGGGGGUGUUUGAGUCAAUGUAGACUCCCCAGGUCCCUUUUGCCUGAGGCCCCUAAAGUCCCUUGAAACGCCCCUGGAGUCCCACAAAUGAGUUUUCAUGGUGAUUCUCUGGUGGAGCAGUGAACGCUGCGUUGACCGGCUGAGUUGCACGUGUUGUAAACGGAGCUGUAUUGUAAAAAACCUGCCUCAACUAGUUGCUCUACAGAAUGAGUUCUAACAGAAAACUACAAUAAACACAGAGAAUAUAUACGAUGUAUUAUAAAACACAUUGAGCUCAUACAACCAGCACAUCCUGCAAGUUUAAAACCAGAAUAAUCAGAAACAAUUGUGAUUAUUUAUCAAUUUCAUUAGAUGACUAAAUGU